UACGUAGGGUGCAGGCGUUAAUCGGAAUUACUGGGCGUAAAGCGUGCGCAGGCGGUUUGCUAAGAGAGAUGUGAAAGCCCCGGGCUUAACCUGGGAACUGCGUUUCUAACUGGCAAGCUUGAGUGUGGCAGAGGGGGGUGGAAUUCCACGUGUAGCAGUGAAAUGCGUAGAGAUGUGGAGGAACACCGAUGGCGAAGGCAGCCCCCUGGGCUAACACUGACGCUGAUGAGCGAAAGCCAGGGGAGCAAACGGG
rnacentral:rRNA from 1 species